rnacentral:rRNA from 1 species
CGCGUAGGCGGCGCGGGAAGUCGGGGGUGAAAGUCCGGGGCUCAACCCCCGGAUCGGCCUUCGAGACUCCCGCGCUGGAGCACAGUAGAGGCGGGUGGAAUUCCGGGUGUAGCGGUGGAAUGCGUAGAGAUCCGGAAGAACACCGGUGGCGAAGGCGGCCCGCUGGCUGUGGCUGACGCUGAGGCGCGACAGCGGUGGGGAAGCAAACA